ensembl:lncRNA
ACCAAGAUGUCUGAGGGCGAGCGGCCAUUCGAAAACGCACAGGACGACGGCGAUGAUGACGGAGAUGAUGUGCUUAGCAUGGAGGAGGAGCUGUGCUUAAGACUUGACACUAUGAGGGACUUUUUCCUCCAGCAGCUGAAGGCCAUAAGAUACUCGCUGUUUUCAUCUCAGACCAAGGUGCACAAGGAUUUAAAAGCCUUCAAGGAGUCCAUCUUGACGGAGGAGCUGAAUUUCUACAGAGAGAGGCUAGAGGCAAAGGUAACAUCUGACUUCCAGCUGCUGGAGGAAAACUGCAAUUCUGCUAAACGUGAUGUUGUUGAAAUGGUGAAGGCCGUUGGGGAAUCUGUGACCAAGAGGAUGGACGCGGUGGACAGGAUACUCUACACGCUGGCUUCGAGGAUCACUGCAAUGGAAGCGGAGGUCCACAACACGGUGCCUUCUUUUCAAGCGAGCACGCCGCCACGCCGUGCUCAUGGCCUUUUGAGCAGAGCUGAAGCACUUUCCUCCACCCAGGUGACAGAUGUGGGACAAGACACGGAGAUCUUCCUGGACCUUCAGAGUGUGGCUUCUUCAUCUCCGAUCAGCCCUGGUCAGCGUGCGGUGUUGACCACAGCAACGUCCUUUGAAUCCAGCUCUGACCAGAACCCAGAACGUGAUGAAGCACUUUCCUCCACCCAGGUUUUGGAUGUGGGACGCGACAUGGAGAUCUCCCUGGACCUUCAGAGCGCGGCCUCUCCGUCUCAGAUCGGCCCGAGUCAGCUUGCGGUGUUGACCACAACAACGUCCUUUGAAUCCAGCUCUGACCAGAACCCAGAACGUGAUGAAGCACUUUCCUCCACCCAGGUUUUGGAUGUGGGACGCGACAUGGAGAUCUCCCUGGACCUUCAGAGUUUACCUCUCACCCAGACCGGUUCCUCGGGACUUCAGAGACAGCCCCCCGCUAUGCACAAGCGCAAGCUGUCCCAGUCUCCAGACGAUCUGGAACCUGAACUUUCUGCCAAAAUAAGGCCCUACAUGAGACUGAGGCACACACGACAAGAGAAACUUACAGGACUCCAGGCUGCAUUCUUCAAUCUCCAAAUGGACAGGCUGAACAUUAAUGACACCAAGAGCCUCGCAGACAAGGCAGAAGUCAUAAAAGGAGCUGGUGAGAGACACGGAGUCUGGCUGGAACCCUCGGGGAUCAAGGAUCUUCAGCCGUACAUCGGAGAGAGAAUCAAGACCACUUUGAAGAGAAGGAAACGAAUUGCGCAGGUUGUCGAUCAGGAAAAAAAAAAAUUAAACCAAAGUUGCUAGUGUUCGAGCGUCAAAAACGUAACACCCUGACACUUUAGUACACUCCAUUUUGCACACUAGUUAAUUGUUCGUUGUUCUUAAAAUGCAUAUAUUUGACUGAAGUUUUUAUACAUGAGUAAUUACUCCAUUUUGCACACUAGUUAAUUGUUUGUCAUUGAACAACUGCAAUUCGAAACAUAAAAUUAUUUGUAUACGAGUUCUUGUUUGCUUUUGUCAUUAGUCAUUAUUUUACCCUGUUUGAUUUUAAGAAUUUAUUUCUGAGACAAGAUAGGGAUGAAAUGGGAUCAAAGUUGGAUGUGUAAACAGUGUGAAUACUUUGAAUGUUUUUGUUCUUUGUGUGUUUAAACAUUGCUACAAUCUACAAUCCCAAUAUAGAUUCAUCUCUGUCUGUAUUGUGGUAGCAUAAUGGUCCUGCACAAAGCAGCACAACUACAUCCAGCACCACGGAGAGCGCCAUACAUCACAGCCAGUGAUGAUCAGGACCAGGGAUAGCUCCUCUUACACAGGUGUGCACGUUUCUCCUCUGACAGUGAGCCUCAGCUUCCGGCCUUUUAAGUCAAAUUAGCAGCCACAUAAAGGUUCCAGAAAUCAUACAGGAUCAUUUAGUUAUGGGGGUGCAAAUUUGACCUUUGACAUCUGAACACAUACACUUGGUCUGGCUGCUUUCAAAGGCCAAGGGUGCGUCUCAAUCAGCCCCAUGGUUCAGUAGUCAGGACACUGAUCAGGGAGUCAGCUCAUUGACUGAAGGUAUGUUGUGUGACUUUAAAAAGACCUCAACGUUUUCAAAAUGAUGCGGUGUAGCCAUAGCUCAGAGUUCAUCUAGGUUUUUGUUUUUUGAUUUAGUCAUAUCAAAAAUACCUAUGAAUGAACUAAUGUAAUCACAUGAGUUUUACUGGUUUAUUGGAAAG